UGCAUUUAAACUACAGAUAAACACUACAGAUUGCUCCAGAGGAAGGCUACGGAAAUGCUGAAGACCGUAUGACAAUUCGUUUUAAAGUCAGUCCCAUCAUUAGCUCGGCCUGCUGGAGCUCCCACACCAGCCCACAGAAACCACCGUAAGUGUCGCGGGUUGGAGAAGGUCCCGGCACUGGUCAACCUCAGAAGGGAGAAGGGGCAGAAGAAGAGGAGGUACAGCUCUUACUGCAGCGUGGGAAUAAACUCACUUCUUACAUCUCAGCUUGAAACAGAAUUUCCUAUGAUAUAGUCGUAAGAAAUGGUAGAUAGACUCUGAUAUUACUGGAGCCAAUUCCAGCAACAAUUUGUGAGAAAUAGCUCUUUUCUUUUCUUUUCUUUUUUAAUGAACUGGUCCGAGGACCUAUCAACCAUGGACAGCAUAAUUUCUCUAAGAAAGCAUCUUCCUAAUUUUCCAAUAA
rnacentral:lncRNA from 1 species